UACGGAGGAUGCAAGCGUUAUCCGGAAUGAUUGGGCGUAAAGCGUCCGCAGGUGGCUAUGUAAGUCUGCUGUUAAAGAGUCUAGCUCAACUAGAUAAGAGCAGUGGAAACUACAUGGCUAGAGUGCGUUCGGGGCAGAGGGAAUUCCUGGUGUAGCGGUGAAAUGCGUAGAGAUCAGGAAGAACACCGGUGGCGAAGGCGCUCUGCUAGGCCGCAACUGACACUGAGGGACGAAAAGCUAGGGGGAGCGAAUGGG
rnacentral:rRNA from 1 species